rnacentral:tRNA from 1 species
GGCUCAGCAGUUAAGAGCACUGGAUGCUCUUCCAGAGGACCUGGGUUCAAUUCCCAG